AGCAAGUAAUCAUUCUGCCUUUCAGAAGCACAGCCAAGAAAGAGAUCGCCUGCCUCACCAUGAACACCAAGGUUGUUGUGUGUGCAGUUCUUGCUCUUGUCCUGGUCUCUGCAACUCUGACAGAAGGCAUCCCCCUGGCCCGGAUGGGAACUGAGCUCCGAUGCCAAUGCAUUAGCACCCAUUCCAGAUUUAUCCCUCCCAAGAAGAUCCAGAAUGUCCAGCUGACCAAAAGUGGGCCCCAUUGCCAGAAUGUAGAGGUCAUUGCCACUCUUAAGGAUGGAAGAGAAGUAUGCUUGGAACCCACAGCUCCCUGGGUGAAGGUGGUCAUCAAGGCCAUCCUCGAUAGGCAUCCCACUGGCCCAGAUGGGAACUGAGUUCCAAUGCCAAUGCAUUAGCACCCAUUCCUGAUUUAUCGCUCCCAAGAAGAUCCAGGACAUCCAGCUGACCCAAAGUGGGCCCCACUACCAGAACGUAGAAGUCAUUGCCACUCUUAAGGACGGCAGAGAAGUAUGCUUGGAACCCACAGCUCCCUGGGUGAAGGUGGUCAUCAAGGCCAUCCUCGAUAAGGCUCAAGCCAAUAUCGAACCACAGCUAUAAGGAGAGCUUCUGCAUCCCUCACGUCUUGCUUCACUGAAAGAAGUGGAGCCGUUUCAAUCCAGCCUCUUUUAAAAGUCACUUUAAACUUGGAAUGCUGGUUCCUUAUUUAUAUUACAUAAGAGGGUACGGGUCAGAGAGUGUAUGGGGUACGGCUCAGAGAAACCACAUACCCUGAAAGCAUGAAGAUAACGAAAUGGGAAAUGAAGGCCUUUUGGAAAGCAGAAUGUAUUACUCAAUGCAGCUGCAAAGAGCCCCUGGUGGCGCAGUGGUAAAACUGCCGCGCUGUAACCAGAAGGUUACAAGUUCAAUCCUGACCAGGGGCUCAAGGUUGACUCAGCCUUCCAUCCUUCCGAGGUCGGUAAAAUGAGUACCCAGAAUGUUGGGGGCAAUAUGCUAAAUCAUUGUAAACCGCUUAGAGAGCUCCGGCUAUAGAGCGGUAUAUGAAUGUAAGUGCUAUUGCUAUUGCUAAUAGUUGUGUUUACACCAAAGCUACUAUGAUAAGCCAAUGGGCAAUAGUGUGAGCCUUUCUGGCUGAUUAUGUAUUAAUGCUACCAUAUUUGAAAUAUUAUUUUUAGGUAUAUAUAUAUAUACUCUUAUUUUAAGGAUUUUAUGUGAUUUUGAGUUAUUAAUGACUGUACAUUUCUCUUUUGGUCAUUGACCGUAAAUAAAGUAUGACGAUGAA